UUUAAAAUUAGAGAUAAAAACUUAAUUAGAGAAAACGGUAGAUCAUUACAUAUAUUUGGGAAUUUUUAAGACAAUUAACUAACACACAUAUAAUGGUUACUUUAUCAUAUGAACAUCACAGCAAAUUAAUAUUGUAGAUUAGAUAUUUCUUAUAGUCAUUAAGUGUCAAAUGAGAAGAACAAAAACAAAAUACUUACGUUUCAAUUACUUUGGCCUAAUGAUAUAUUAUUUAAUGAUAUUUUUUUGAUUCCAGGAAUUUCCUAUACUUACCAAAUACUCAAUCGCAACAAAGAAAAAAAAACUUAUUAUAUCAUCAACUUUGCUGAUAAAAAAUUAUUAAAAUUUUCGAACAAAAUUCGUUCUCUUUGUCUGCUUGGUUUUUUCCUUUGCCCCUUCUUCUACUCAUUUUUUAAUGGAGUUAUGAUCAAUUUGAUUGGCUGCAAAAAGCGUCGAUAAAUUUUCGAUUUUACAUAAAUAGCGAAAAAAAUUCCGAUUUAAUAAUUAUUUGCUUGACCGAAACUCCGGAGAAGCUCGAAACUAUUGUACAUCCAUUUGAAAUUUAAAAGUAGUUGAAAAUAAACAAUUUUUACUAAAAGUUGCAGAAAAAAAAAUCAUUGACAAAAAAUUUUCUUUCGAUUAUCCUCUAUUGGGUCAUUUUCAGAGGCUCAUUUGAUGGUGGGUGAAAAAGUCCUAACAUCUCAUACAUCUGAAAAAAAUCAUUUAAAUUUAAUAAUUGAACGAAAUUAAUAAAAAAUUAUGAUAAUAUUCAAGUUGCUUGAAAAGAGGCUGAGAAAUUUUAGGGUUAAGGAGGAAAUCUCUACCCUUAUAUACAUUAUAUAUAUAUAUAUAUAUAUAUAUAUAUAUAUAUAUAUAUAUAUAUAUAUAUAUAUAUAUAUAUAUAUAUAUAUAUUUGAAAAUUAUUUAAAGUCAUUAAUGCAUACUUCAGGUGCUUUUUCUUUGAAACAUUGCACUAUUUCUAGAGCGUUUUUGCAUCCAUCGGUGGUCAUAUUUGGUUUGACUAAAAAAAAAUAGACGUAUAAUUAAAAGAAAUGAAAAUGAUGUUAAUUCAUUUUUUUUUAAAUAAACUACUGCUGCACGGACCUGAAUCAUAACACAUGAAUAUAUAUUUCCUAGCAGCUUCUCUCAAAUUAUCUUGUACUUCUUGCGCAGCGAGAUUUGGAUCAAACUCUCCUUUUUCGUUCAUCUGUAAUUGAAUUUUUUUUUUUUUUUAAUUGAAAUUGUAUUGAAAUUCAUAAAUAAUAUUGACAAUUGUGUAGCUUUGUAAUUCUAUUAAUUUUAGUGGGAAUUUAAUUUUUAAAUUUGUAGCUAAUUUACGAAGAAAAAUGGAGGCGGGAAAAAAGUCAAUUUUGUCAUCUGUUGUCUAGAUAAGAAAGUAGUCUGAGGCAGGGGUCAGAUUUUACUGACGACCCUGAUUGCCAGACUUUCUAGUCAGAAAAUUGACAUCCAUUUGUUGUGAGCAAAUUGAUGACAACUUCGGUUGUAACUAUUGACUGCAAGUUGUUGCUGACUUUAUCUGCAAGCUGUAGACAACUUUCCAUCAAUUUAUGGAAUGACUUGCCUGCAACUUUCAUUGAAAGUUGACUUCCAGUUGUCGUCAACUUAUGGAAAUACCACUUUGCCAUUUUUGCGUUCGGGCUACAAGUUGCGACUUGCAAUCUGUCAAUUUGGCUAUCAGGAGAGUUUCCAUUACUAAAUUGUUGUCAUAGUAUUUUACAAAAUUGUACGGUUGGCUAUUUAUUCUAAAGAUGUUUAUUUAAAAAAUGCUACAACAUUAAAAAACUUACAAUAUUGAUAUCUUUGAAUAAACAAAAUAGAUAACAGCUGAAAUCACUUGGAUUUUCUUCUCCUAGUUUGAGGAUUUCUAUAAAAGAAAAAUAAUAAACUUUCUGAGAAAAUUGAAGGCAAUUAAUGGGAUGCCAACUUUUACAGAAAGUUGACAUCCAGUUGUCGUCAACUAAUGGAUGCCUUUUGCCACCAACUUUCU